UUGUAGCUCAUGAGGAUGAGAACCUCCGGGGGCAGGGAGGUUCGACUCGAGCGAAGCGAGAGAACGUUGCGCCAGCAACGGCCCGCAGGGCGAGCCACGAAGUGGCGAGUAAUCCUCUAUCACCGACCA
rnacentral:sRNA from 1 species